rnacentral:misc_RNA from 1 species
GAUGAAGAACGUAGUGAAAUGCGAUAAUUAAUGUGAAUUGCAGAAUUUAGUGAAUCAUCGAAUCUUUGAACGCACAUUGCGCCCCUUGGUAUUCCGGGGGGCAUGCCUGUUCGAGCGUCAUUUCAACCCUCAAGCUCUGCUUGGUCUUGGGCCGCGCCGGCAACUGCGGGCCACAAAAACAGUGGCGGCGCCAUCUGGUCCCUCAGCGUAGUAAUUCUUCUCGCUGCUGGGCCCCGGUGGCCGCUUGCCAGCAACCCCAAACUUUCUAUGGUUGACCUCGGAUCAGGUAGGGAUACCCGCUGAACUUAAGCAUAUCAAUAAGCGGAGGA